CUUCGGGAGAAGGCACGCUGACACGUAGGUGAAGUGAUUUACUCAUGGAGCUGAAGUCAGUCGAAGAUACCAGCUGGCUGCAACUGUUUAUUAAAAACACAGCACUGUGCAAACACGAAAGUGGACGUAUACGGUGUGACGCCUGCCCGGUGCCGGAAGGUUAAUUGAUGGGGUCAGCGCAAGCGAAGCUCCUGAUCGAAGCCCCGGUAAACGGCGGCCGUAACUAUAACGGUCCUAAGGUAGCGAAAUUCCUUGUCGGGUAAGUUCCGACCUGCACGAAUGGCGUAAUGAUGGCCAGGCUGUCUCCACCCGAGACUCAGUGAAAUUGAACUCGCUGUGAAGAUGCAGUGUACCCGCGGCAAGACGGAAAGACCCCGUGAACCUUUACUAUAGCUUGACACUGAACAUUGAGCCUUGAUGUGUAGGAUAGGUGGGAGGCUUUGAAGUGUGGACGCCAGUCUGCAUGGAGCCGACCUUGAAAUACCACCCUUUAAUGUUUGAUGUUCUAACGUGGACCCGUAAUCCGGGUUGCGGACAGUGUCUGGUGGGUAGUUUGACUGGGGCGGUCUCCUCCUAAAGAGUAACGGAGGAGCACGAAGGUUGGCUAAUCCUGGUCGGACAUCAGGAGGUUAGUGCAAUGGCAUAAGCCAGCUUGACUGCGAGCGUGACGGCGCGAGCAGGUGCGAAAGCAGGUCAUAGUGAUCCGGUGGUUCUGAAUGGAAGGGCCAUCGCUCAACGGAUAAAAGGUACUCCGGGGAUAACAGGCUGAUACCGCCCAAGAGUUCAUAUCGACGGCGGUGUUUGGCACCUCGAUGUCGGCUCAUCACAUCCUGGGGCUGAAGUAGGUCCCAAGGGUAUGGCUGUUCGCCAUUUAAAGUGGUACGCGAGCUGGGUUUAGAACGUCGUGAGACAGUUCGGUCCCUAUCUGCCGUGGGCGCUGGAGAACUGAGGGGGGCUGCUCCUAGUACGAGAGGACCGGAGUGGACGCAUCACUGGUGUUCGGGUUGUCAUGCCAAUGGCACUGCCCGGUAGCUAAAUGCGGAAGAGAUAAGUGCUGAAAGCAUCUAAGCACGAAACUUGCCCCGAGAUGAGUUCUCCCUGAGACUUAGAGUCUCCUGAAGGAACGUUGAAGACGACGACGUUGAUAGGCCGGGUGUGUAAGCGCAGCGAUGCGUUGAGCUAACCGGUACUAAUGAACCGUGAGGCUUAACCUUACAACGCCGAAG
rnacentral:rRNA from 1 species